rnacentral:rRNA from 1 species
AUGACAGUAAUAGAUUUCAUAGAUCUGAGUGAUCAUGAUAUUAUUGACUUGAGCAGCAGCGAUGACGAGACUGUUCAGGAGGUUCUAAUUGCAACUCAGCACCGGGCAGCGUCGCUUGAUAAGCAGGAUGUGUUUGUCCUAGCUGGUGAAGGAAGCCGAGGGGUGCAGGCCGUGUUUGUUGCAGCUGGUGAAGGAAGUCAGAAUGAGCAGGCCGUGUUUGUUGCAGCCAGUGAAGGAAGUCAAGAUAGGCAGGCUAUGUUUGUUGCAGCUAGUGAAGGAAGGCAAGAGGCUUCUGAGCCCGUACAUGCUUUGGAAGCUACCGCAUCGUCCAUGAUUAUGGAGGAAGCACCUCUCCUUGCAGCUAGUGAAGGAACUCAAGAUGUGCAUGCUGUGUCUGUUGCAGCAACUGAAGGAAGGCAAGAGACUACUGAGUCCGGACAUGCUUUGGAAGCAACCGCCAAGUCAGUGAGUGUGAAAAGGAAAUAUCGUAAGAAGAACUACCAUACCGACACUCCUAGGAGAAGUCCUAGGCUUAUACAGAUGGGUGAAUGUUGUAUCGGUCCUGUGGAAGAGCCAGCAGCCGACCACAAGAGGUCUCACACGCUCGGGCCAGCAGAAGAAUCAGCUGCCUCUACCGACCCAGCUGAAACGGCUGUCCUCACUAUGACACAUGUUGGAUCAACGAGUUGUUUUUGCUCUCCAACAUCAACGACACUCCUCAGCCUGACUUCCACCACUCCGAAAGCUCAGACUUCUGAAGGUGGCGACGCAAAGUCAGUGAGUGUGAAUGCAAAAUGUCAUAAGAACUACCAUACCGACACUCCUAGGAGAAGUCCUAGGCUUAUACAGAUGGGUGAAUGUUUUACCAGUCCUGUGGAAGAGCCAACAGCCGACCACAAGAGGUCUCGCACGCUCAGGCCAGCAGAAGAAUCAGCUGCCUUUAUCAACUCAGCUGAAACGGUUGUCCUCGCUCUGCCACAUGCUGGAUCAACGAAUUGUCUUCGCUCUCCAACAUCAGCGACAUUCCCCAGCCCGAUUUCCACCAGUCCUAAAGCUGUGACUUCUGAAGAUGGCGAUGCAAAGCUGGUGAGAGCGAAGGCGAAACAUAUUGAGAGGAACUACCAUAUCUUGUCCUUGGUUAGGGAAAAACCACCUCUUGGCCUGACUUCCAGCAGUCCGAAGGCUCUGUCCUCACAAGGUGGUGAUGCAAAGCUGGUGACCGGGAAGCACCGGGCAGCGUCGCUUGAUAAGCAGGAUGUGUUUGUCCUAGCUGGUGAAGGAAGCCGAGGGGUGCAGGCCGUGUUUGUUGCAGCUGGUGAAGGAAGUCAGAAUGAGCAGGCCGUGUUUGUUGCAGCCAGUGAAGGAAGUCAAGAUAGGCAGGCUAUGUUUGUUGCAGCUAGUGAAGGAAGGCAAGAGGCUUCUGAGCCCGUACAUGCUUUGGAAGCUACCGCAUCGUCCAUGAUUAUGGAGGAAGCACCUCUCCUUGCAGCUAGUGAAGGAACUCAAGAUGUGCAUGCUGUGUCUGUUGCAGCAACUGAAGGAAGGCAAGAGACUACUGAGUCCGGACAUGCUUUGGAAGCAACCGCCAAGUCAGUGAGUGUGAAAAGGAAAUAUCGUAAGAAGAACUACCAUACCGACACUCCUAGGAGAAGUCCUAGGCUUAUACAGAUGGGUGAAUGUUGUAUCGGUCCUGUGGAAGAGCCAGCAGCCGACCACAAGAGGUCUCACACGCUCGGGCCAGCAGAAGAAUCAGCUGCCUCUACCGACCCAGCUGAAACGGCUGUCCUCACUAUGACACAUGUUGGAUCAACGAGUUGUUUUUGCUCUCCAACAUCAACGACACUCCUCAGCCUGACUUCCACCACUCCGAAAGCUCAGACUUCUGAAGGUGGCGACGCAAAGUCAGUGAGUGUGAAUGCAAAAUGUCAUAAGAACUACCAUACCGACACUCCUAGGAGAAGUCCUAGGCUUAUACAGAUGGGUGAAUGUUUUACCAGUCCUGUGGAAGAGCCAACAGCCGACCACAAGAGGUCUCGCACGCUCAGGCCAGCAGAAGAAUCAGCUGCCUUUAUCAACUCAGCUGAAACGGUUGUCCUCGCUCUGCCACAUGCUGGAUCAACGAAUUGUCUUCGCUCUCCAACAUCAGCGACAUUCCCCAGCCCGAUUUCCACCAGUCCUAAAGCUGUGACUUCUGAAGAUGGCGAUGCAAAGCUGGUGAGAGCGAAGGCGAAACAUAUUGAGAGGAACUACCAUAUCUUGUCCUUGGUUAGGGAAAAACCACCUCUUGGCCUGACUUCCAGCAGUCCGAAGGCUCUGUCCUCACAAGGUGGUGAUGCAAAGCUGGUGACCGGGAAGUCGGCGAAGAGAAAGAGCAGGAGGCACGCGGCCGACGCGAGGGACGAAGCCAUCGCAGCGGACGCCGUCACCGCCGUCGCACAACAGGAGGUCACCAACACCCACGUCGCGGCGACAAUAAGGGAGGCGCUAUAUACGCUAGGGUUAAACCCUAGCCAGCACGGCCUCGUCAACGUCGUCGCGGCCGCGGCCAGCACCGGCUCAUCCACGUUCCCUCGGAUGGUGCCGCCCGACUCGCCCCGCGCGUCGGCGACGCAGCCGAUACCCGACUUUCACGUCUACCCGCAGGCCUCCCGCCUCUCCGGGGAGUGCUCGCCCGAGGUGAGCGUGGUAGUGCCUUCCACGCCCGCGCCUACGUCCAUCGACCUCAACGCCACACCGGUGGUCGGUGGCUCGUCAUCCGGAGGUGCAAGGAAAUGCGCGCGGCACAUGCUAGCCGACGAGCUGUCGGGCGCACGCAAUCUGCUCGAUGGAAUGCUGGCCUCCGGCAACAACGACUACAUGCAAAACAUCAUCUUUGAGGGUGGUGCGGCGGCUGCUGGCGGUGCCGCCGGGGCUGGCUAUGAUCCCGAAGAGACACAAAGUCAGGACGGCUGA